AUUUUUUUUAUUUUUUAUUUUUUAUCUAGAGUAUAUAUUUUAUUUAUAUUUUCCCGUUGUCUUCCCUGAAGACCACUGCUUAUUGCUACUUUUUGUUUUACUUUAACAAAUCCUAAUCUCUCCCAACUCACCAUCACCUUCCCCUGCGAUCACAAUUUACAACUUCUAUACUAUUUUACUUGAACCAUGUAACUCAAUUUCUGAAUCUUAAAUUGCUUUAUCGAAAUUAAAUUCGCUUCUACUACUGCAGUCUUUGGUUAUGAGCCACAUUCA
rnacentral:misc_RNA from 1 species